rnacentral:rRNA from 1 species
UAUACGGAAACUGCGAAUGGCUCAUUAAAUCAGUUAUGUUUAUUUGAUAGUACCUUACUACAUGGAUACCCGUGGUAAUUCUAGAGUAAUACAUGUAAAAACCCCGACUUCAGGAAGGGGUGUAUUUAUUAGAUAAAAAACCAACGCCCUUCGGGGCUCCUUGGUGAAUCAUAAUAACUUAACGAAUCGCAUGGCCUUGCGCCGGCGAUGGUUCAUUCAAAUUUCUGCCCUAUCAACUUUCGAUGGUAGGAUAGUGGCCUACCAUGGUGGCAACGGGUAACGGGGAAUUAGGGUUCGAUUCCGGAGAGGGAGCCUGAGAAACGGCUACCACAUCCAAGGAAGGCAGCAGGCGCGCAAAUUACCCAAUCCCGAUACGGGGAGGUAGUGACAAUAAAUACUGAUACAGGGCUCUUUUGGGUCUGUAAUUGGAAUGAGAACAAU